rnacentral:rRNA from 1 species
AUUGAAAGACUUCUUCAUGUCAAACUAGACUACACUUCUCUACGUGUUUUCGGCUAUGCAUGUUGGCCCAAUCUCCGUCCUUACAACACCAGAAAACUCAUGUUUCGCUCCAAACAGUGCGUGUUCCUUGGGUAUAGUGCUCAACACAAGGGGGUCAAGUGUCUUGAUGUCUCCUCCGGUCGUGUCUACAUUUCUCGCGAUGUAGUUUUUGAUGAGACCAAGUUUCCGUAUUCUGACCUCCACCCAAAUGCCGGUGCCUUGCUUCGCAAAGAAAUUCUUCUUCUCCCAUCCACUCUCACUGGCCUUGAUUCAAGGGAUGAUAAAUGUGUUGAUUCUAUGAUGACUAACCCGCUCACCACGCUGCAUGAGUUGUGUGAUGAU